rnacentral:ncRNA from 1 species
ACCAAGGAGUCUAACAUGUGCGCGAGCCGCGGGGCAGUACGAAACCCGUAAGGCGAAAUGAAGGUGAACGCCGGCGCGGUCCGGCGGAGGUUGGAUCCCGUCCCGUCGGGGCGGGCGCACUACCGGCCGAUCUUCUCCGCCCUGUCGGCGAGGUCGAGCGAGAGCGUGCAAGUCGGGACCCGAAAGAUGGUGAACUAUGCCGAGGAGGUGAAGCCAGAGG